rnacentral:rRNA from 1 species
CAAAAGCGUAUAUUAAAGUUGUUGCAGUUAAAAAGCUCGUAGUUGAACCUUGGGCUUGGCUGGCCGGUCCAUCUUUUUUGAUGCGUACUGGACCCAGCCGAGCCUUUCCUUCUGGCUAGCCUUUUGGCGAACCAGGACUUUUACUUUGAAAAAAUUAGAGUGUUCAAAGCAGGCCUUUGCUCGAAUAUAUUAGCAUGGAAUAAUAGAAUAGGACGUUAUGGUUCUAUUUUGUUGGUUUCUAGGACCAUCGUAAUGAUUAAUAGGGACGGUCGGGGGUAUCAGUAUUCAGUUGUCAGAGGUGAAAUUCUUGGAUUUACUGAAGACUAACAACUGCGAAAGCAUUUACCAAGGACGUUUUCAUUAA